AAAUAACAGUAAAUGACCUCAUAUAAUAUUGGGGAUAUGGCCCAAAAGUUUCUACCUAGUAACCAUAAAUUACUAGACUAUGAGGGAAGUAUUUCUU
rnacentral:ncRNA from 1 species